rnacentral:pre_miRNA from 1 species
GGAAAUUUAGAAACUACCGUUGGAUUGAGAAAUAGACGUCCGAGAUUCGUCCACGUCACAAUGAGUUAAAAUAUAACUCGCGGAUUUACUCAUGAGUUAAAAUUUUUCUGAGAGUUAAAUUGUUAAAAUUUUUCUGAGAGUUAAAUUUUAACUCAUGGUGACUUGGACGAAUCUCGGACGUCCAUUUCUCGAUCCAACGGUAGUUUCCAAGUUUUC